UACGUAGGGGUCUAGCGUUGUCCGGAAUUAUUGGGCGUAAAGAGCUCGUAGGCGGUUCGGCAAGUCGGAUGUGAAAUCUCCACGCUUAACGUGGAGGGGCCAUUCGAAACUGCCGUGACUCGAGUCCGGUAGGGGAGUUCGGAAUUCCCGGUGUAGCGGUGAAAUGCGCAGAUAUCAGGAAGAACACCGAUGGCGAAGGCAGUUCUCUGGGACGGUACUGACGCUGAGACGCGAAAGCGUGGGGAGCGAACAGG
rnacentral:rRNA from 1 species